ACAUAUUCAUCCGAGGUGUCCCGC
rnacentral:siRNA from 1 species